GCAACCCAGAGGUUGAGAAAUGCUGACCUAAGGUAUAUUGUAUUGCAAGCACAGGGCCUUUGCUCUAUGGGUCCUCAAGGGAGGAAACACUCUCCUUGGGGCUCAGCACUGUGCCCUCCUUCCCUCCCCCUGAGUCCCACUCUGGCCCGGAGAUGUAGCUUAUUUGGUACGCUGCUUGCCUAGCAGGCCCGAAGUCCUGGGGUUGUUCCCUAUAAACCUUGUAAACAAGAUCCCAGAGCAGGAGACGUGAAGACGGGACGCGCGGGAGUUCAGGGCCAGCUGGGGUACCUGAGACCCUGUCCUGCUUGGCUUCCUAUUGCUGACAGACACCAGGACCAGAAGCAGCCUGGGGAGGAAGGUGCUUUGCUGUGAUGUGAUCUGUCUUCUCCCAUCUUGUGGCUUGCGGAGUAUUGAUUUACCACGCACUGUGGGCAGACAUUGGCUUGGUCGUUUCAGCCUGUGAAAACAAAGCCAGCAGCGGCUGUCCUAAAAUCUUGAUGUGCACGUACGCAGAGGCACGUUUCCUAGAGUCUGUAAGGACAACUGCUCAACUGCAGUUGGGAGCUGCCUGACGACUUUGCCAGCCAGCCGCUCCAUCCUCCACGUCAGAGGAGUGCCUCAUCUUGGCACCAACAAUAAAAGAUGUUUGUUUGUUUGGACAUCUGCA